rnacentral:rRNA from 1 species
GUGGGGAAUUUUGGACAAUGGGCGCAAGCCUGAUCCAGCAAUGCCGCGUGCAGGAAGAAGGCCUUCGGGUUGUAAACUGCUUUUGUACGGAACGAAACGGUCCGGGUUAAUACCCUGGGCUAAUGACGGUACCGUAAGAAUAAGCACCGGCUAACUACGUGCCAGCAGCCGCGGUAAUACGUAGGGUGCAAGCGUUAAUCGGAAUUACUGGGCGUAAAGCGUGCGCAGGCGGUUUUGUAAGACAGGCGUGAAAUCCCCGGGCGCAACCUGGGAAUUGGGCUGGUGCCUGCAAGGCUGGAGUGCGGCAGAGGAGGAUGGAAUUCCGCGUGUAGCAGUGAAAUGCGUAGAUAUGCGGAGGAACACCGAUGGCGAAGGCAAUCCCCUGGGCCUGCACUGACGCUCAUGCACGAAAGCGUGGGGAGCAAACAGGAUUAGAUACCCUAGUAGUCC